rnacentral:rRNA from 1 species
AAUGAACGCUGGCGGCAGGCCUAAAACAUGCAAGUCGAACGCCUGUAGCAAUACAGGAGUGGCGCACGGGUGCGUAACACGUGGGAAUAUGCCUAUUGGUACGGAACAGCUCCGGGAAACUGGAAUUAAUACCGUAUGGUCCCUUCGGGGUAAAGAUUUAUCGCCAAUAGAUUAGCCCGCGGUGGAUUAGCUAGUUGGUAGGGUAAUGGCUCACCAAGGCGACGAUCCAUAGCUGGUCUUAGAGGACGAUCAGCCACACUGGGACUGAGACACGGCCCAGACUCCUACGGGAGGCAGCAGUUAGGAAUAUUGGACAAUGGGCGCAAGCCUGAUCCAGCCAUGCCGCGUGAGUGAUGAAGGCCUUCGGGUUGUAAAGCUCUUUAGCCGAUGAAUAUAAUGACUGUAGUCGGAAAAUAAGCCCCGGCUAACUUCGUGCCAGCAGCCGCGGUAA